UCCAUCAAGACAGCACCAUUCUGCUUUCUCUUCCUAAUGAAUGGAAGACCUGCUACAUAAAUUCACUUCUCCUCCCUAGAAAGAUAGGAUGAUCUUAUAGUGGAGUAUGUCAGAGACUUCCUAUAGGACCUCAGGAUCUGGGUCCCAGUGAGUUCAGACAUGUCUACACUACAGAGGUGUGGGGCGAGGAGGAGACAUUGCAGGAUCUCCGCUUCAAGCGCUGCAACGUGGACAUCUUCGAGCACAUGGCUGAGUCCCUGGCAGAGUGUGGACACCCACCCCAGACCUUGGAACAGGUCUGGAGUAAGGUAAAGGAGCUCCGUUAGGGAUACGUCAGGGCCAGAGAGUGCAGCUCGUGCUCAGGCAAGGACCCCACACCUGGCCCUAUUACCAGGAGUUCCACCAGAACCUGGGGGCUGGGGAAACAUCUUCCCCACCUAUCAUCGUGGACUGCAGCCUAGAGACCCCCAUCAUCACCCGGCCAGAGGUCAUGGCAGAGGAGGAGGAGGACCAGGGCCAUCAGGAGGACGAGGAAGAGAUGGACACGGUCAUCCUGUCCCUGGAGCCAGAGCGGGAGCUUCAGCUGGGCCAGUCGGUACUGAGGGGUGAGCCAUGUCACCCGUGCCAGCUGACACAGCCCGAGGGACCCAAAAGUGCGUCAAAGUGCAGUGGACCCUGGAGCAGAAGAUCCACGAGGACGCUGAGUGGCGGAAGUGUGCCUGGGACCAGCUCAUGCAGUGGUGCGAUAGCAUGUGUGCUGUCUUGAGAGAAAUGAUGGCACACCCACCUGCUGUUGCUCCUCCUGCCUACCAUCCUCCUGCCCCCCCCGCUAUGCCCAUUUCCCCUCCCACUGCCCCCCAUGCAAUGCCUCUGCUCCUUCCCCAAGCAGUGCCCAUGCCCUCUCCCCAAGUAAUUCCCAUGCCCUGUCCCCAUGUGAUGUCUAUGCCCCCUCCCCCCAUCCCCUGACAUCUCUGACACUGCUCCAGCCCUAACUCCUGCCCACCCCCCUGUGGUACUCGGACCCACCAAACCCCAACUCCAACGAGGUCCCCGCACUCAAGGUGGCACAUCUAGCCACCCCCUAGGCCACUCUGAUCCCUCUUCCCCAUCCAGGUUAUGAGCCCCCCCUCUGCCUGCCCACCUUUU